rnacentral:tRNA from 1 species
AGAUGAGAUGGCCGAGUGGUUUAAGGCACUCUCCUGCUAAGAGAGUAUACGAGUAAAAUCCGUAUCGAGGGUUCGAAUCCCUCUCUCAUCUU